rnacentral:lncRNA from 1 species
AUCGAUCUUGUAUGUAUUCUGCGAGACUCUUUCAUGUCAUCCAUCAUAUUCAACUAGAAAGUGUACAUGACAUUGGAUUCAUCAAUGCUCAUAGUUGAUCGAUCUUGUAAGUAUUCUGCGAGACUCUUUCAUGUCAUCCAUCAUAUUCAACUAGAAAGUGUACCUGACAUUAGAUUCUUCAAUGCUCAUAGUUGAUCGAUCUUGUAUGUAUUCUGCGAGACUCUUUCAUGUCAUCCAUCAUAUUCAACUAGAAAGUGUACAUGACAUUGGAUUCAUCAAUUGUCAUAGUUGAUCGAUCUUGUAAGUAUUCUGCGAGACUCUUUCAUGUCAUCCAUCAUAUUCAACUAGAAAGUGUACCUGACAUUAGAUUCUUCAAUGCUCAUAGUUGAUCGAUCUUGUAAGUAUUCUGUGAGACUCUUUCAUGUCAUCCAUCAUAUUCAACUAGAAAGUGUACAUGACAUUGGAUUCAUCAAUGCUCAUAGUUGAUCGAUCUUGUAAGUAUUUUGCGAGACUCUUUCAUGUCAUCCAUCAUAUUCAACUAGAAAGUGUACCUGACAUUAGAUUCUUCAAUGCUCAUAGUUGAUCGAUCUUGUAUGUAUUCUGCGAGACUCUUUCAUGUCAUCCAUCAUAUUCAACUCUCAUAGUUGAUCGAUCUUGUAAGUAUUCUGAGAGACUCUUUCAUGUCAUCCAUCAUAUUCAACUAGAAAGUGUACCAACCCAUUACAAAUCACA